rnacentral:lncRNA from 1 species
ACCCUCGUGCACCACUCACCUCCCGGUCGCCGCCGAUCGAGCCCCAGCCGGCAAACCGCCGCUGCAACCACCAUCUCUCUCCCUCUCCCUCACAUUGUCUUUCUCCGUCCAUCUUUGCUCGAGAACCUGGCUGGGUGCAACCUUCCUCUUCAGCCCCUCUCCGGCGUCACCACCGAAGCCCUGGCGACCCUCCUCGUCAGCUGUCGCCGCCCUUGAACACCACCAUCCCAGAACGCCGCUGCCGCUCUAUAGCCGCCAUGCAGCAAGCUAG